CAUGCAAGUCGAACGGGAAGAGAUGAAGAGCUUGCUCUUUAUCAAAUCCAGUGGCAAACGGGUGAGUAACACGUAAACAACCUGCCUUCAGGAUGGGGACAACAGACGGAAACGACUGCUAAUACCGAAUACGUUCCACGGGCCGCAUGACCUGUGGAAGAAAGGGUAGCCUCUACCUGUAAGCUAUCGCCUGAAGAGGGGUUUGCGCCUGAUUAGGCAGUUGGUGGGGUAACGGCUCACCAAACCAACGAUCAGUAGCCGGUCUGAGAGGAUGAACGGCCACACUGGAACUGAGACACGGUCCAGACUCCUACGGGAGGCAGCAGUGGGGAAUCUUCCGCAAUGGACGAAAGUCUGACGGAGCAACGCCGCGUGAGUGAAGACGGCCUUCGGGUUGUAAAGCUCUGUGAUCCGGGACGAAAGAGCCUGAGGUUAAUAGCCUAAGGAAGUGACGGUACCGGAAAAGCAAGCCACGGCUAACUACGUGCCAGCAGCCGCGGUAAUACGUAGGUGGCAAGCGUUGUCCGGAAUUAUUGGGCGUAAAGCGCGCGCAGGCGGCUUUCUAAGUCCAUCUUAAAAGUGCGGGGCUUAACCCCGUGAUGGGAUGGAAACUGGGAAGCUGGAGUAUCGGAGAGGAAAGUGGAAUUCCUAGUGUAGCGGUGAAAUGCGUAGAGAUUAGGAAGAACACCGGUGGCGAAGGCGACUUUCUGGACGAAAACUGACGCUGAGGCGCGAAAGCGUGGGGAGCAAACAGGAUUAGAUACCCUGGUAGUCCACGCCGUAAACGAUGGAUACUAGGUGUAGGAGGUAUCGACCCCUUCUGUGCCGGAGUUAACGCAAUAAGUAUCCC
rnacentral:rRNA from 1 species